AGAUUCCUGCACAAAAUACCAUUCAACAAAAAGAUACUGAAAAUCAACAAUCAAAUUGUAGUACUGAAAAUCAAGAGCAAUGUAUUAUUGUUUCAAGAUCCUUAACACAUAAGGAGAAAGCCAGACGGAGACAGGAACUUUGUCGAAGCAAGAAAAGACAAGAGCAAAGUCUUAUUGCAUCAAUAUCAAAGUGUAGUAGUAUUGAAAAUCAAGAUCAAAGUGAAUAAGUAAAGAGAUAGCCAGCAAAGUUAUAAUUACCUGAGGGAGGAAUGUGUUGUCUUUAUGAGGAGCAAAGAUUUCAAAUUGGAAAUGGGAAAAUAUACAGGAUAUCUUUUUAAAGAAAUACCUAGGUAACAGAAAUGUUAUGGGAAACGGUGUCUGGGCAACAAUGGUGUAAAUAUUAUCUGUUGCCAAAAUGUUGCAGACAAAUAUAUUAAUACAUACCAAAUAUAAGUAGGCUUAUUAUUCGCACAUGAAAUUUUUUAUUAUUAAAAUUUUUAAAGAAAAUAUAUAUUUAUGU